rnacentral:lncRNA from 1 species
GGUGAACAAAGCAUCAAUUCAUAAUGCAUAACAAGUACCACCAUUAUAUUAAACAAUCGAAACAUUAGUACAAUACAUUCAACCAUCGAAAGCUGUUAGAAUCCUAGAUUAGUUCAAUACACACAUACAUAAGUACACCUUCAACAAAGAAGGAAAUUCAAAACUACGACACAUUACGACACACCGAGUGAACAAAAGUCAUUGGUCGUAAACCAAUAAUGCUAGCCAACACAAUUAAAACCUACACCAAUGAGCCGCUACCCAAACUUUGAUGGUAGCCCUGCAGAUUACCAAUCUCCAUCGUCGAGGAACAAGUCAUCCUCGUCAAGCUGAAGGUGAAAUAUCCUGUCUUCCAAGCCUUGAAUGCAGUCCUUCAAGUCCUUGUUCUUCUCCUGCAACUUCUUGUUCUUCUGAUCCAACUCUACGUUGGUUAAGACGAGGGAGUCAUACACGUGAACUCCAUCGUCGUCGUUAGGAUCCUUGUUAUCGUUGACCUUGCACCACAUGAAUGCUCCGCAUCCGUCAUUAGACUUUCGACACCCAAAAUAGCUGGUAAAGGGGACCUGACAUUUAUCGGGUGGAAGCUCGAGUGCGUAAAUCUUCGCCGGAAGGUUACACCCACACAUCAGAAUGAUACUCAUCCUGCAAUUGGCAAUGAACGGAAAAAACAGAGAUGAACAAAAACUUCAACCCAAUCAUCCCUAAAACUGGAACUAUAAAACUCUCCAAACACAAAAACGCUCAUAAUCAUCAAUCAGUUUGAAAAGACAAACAGUAUGAGACAGUGGAUACAUCUCUGGCAACACAGGUAAUUCGAAACUCCAAACGCAGAUGUGGGCCACAAGAUCAAACUAGACAGUAGAUACAUCUAUGGCAACAACAAAUCCGGAUCGAAACCCCAACCCUGAUCCGGGAAUAACAGACACAACAAGCUCAUAUCUGGAUGAACCCUAAUUUUGGGAUUACUAUCACCCGAUUUUGUAAAGGACACAGAAGCAGUCAACCAAGCUUACCUGGGUUGAUGUUGCAGAGGAAGCGUGACAGCUGAUGCGAGGAUGAUCCAGCGACGGCGAGCUCGUGAAGUCGAUCGACAACGGCGGACAAAUCAAGGGAAAAUGGUGUUCACAGCUCACAGGAGGGUUUUGUUCUGUGAACCAGAAAUGUUACGAAUAUGAAAGGGGAUGGGUUAAACUCUAAGUAAGUGGGGGUAAAUAAGUAAUUUCACACAAAUCCAUACCAAACAACAUUUUCUUCAUUUCCUUCCCUCGAUAUCAAUAUCGUCCAAUAUCGCGAUAUCUCGAAUAUCAUGAUAUUCGAGAUAUCUCAUACCAAACGACCUCUUAGUAAUUUU